rnacentral:rRNA from 1 species
GGUUAAGCGACUAAGCGUACACGGUGGAUGCCCUGGCAGUCAGAGGCGAUGAAGGACGUGCUAAUCUGCGAUAAGCGUCGGUGAGGUGAUAUGAACCGUUAUAACCGGCGAUUUCCGAAUGGGGAAACCCAGUGUGUUUCGACACACUAUCAUUAACUGAAUCCAUAGGUUAAUGAGGCGAACCGGGGGAACUGAAACAUCUAAGUACCCCGAGGAAAAGAAAUCAACCGAGAUUCCCCCAGUAGCGGCGAGCGAACGGGGAGGAGCCCAGAGCCUGAAUCAGUGUGUGUGUUAGUGGAAGCGUCUGGAAAGGCGCGCGAUACAGGGUGACAGCCCCGUACACAAAAAUGCACAUAUUGUGAGCUCGAUGAGUAGGGCGGGACACGUGGUAUCCUGUCUGAAUAUGGGGGGACCAUCCUCCAAGGCUAAAUACUCCUGACUGACCGAUAGUGAACCAGUACCGUGAGGGAAAGGCGAAAAGAACCCCGGCGAGGGGAGUGAAAAAGAACCUGAAACCGUGUACGUAC